rnacentral:rRNA from 1 species
CACCGGCGGCUCGAGUGGUGGCCCCUUUUAUUGGGUCUAAAGCGUCCGUAGCCGGCUUGGCAAGUCCCCUGGGAAAUCUGGCGGCUUAACCGCAGGACUGGCAGGGAUACUGCUGGACUUGGGACCGGGAGAGGACAAGGGUACUCCAGGGGUAGCGGUGAAAUGUGUUGAUCCCUGAGGGACCACCAGUGGCGAAGGCGUCUCACUAGAACGGGUCCGACGGUCAGGGACGAAAGCUGGGGGCACGAACCGG